rnacentral:rRNA from 1 species
AUGGAUAACUUUGUUGCAAAAGAACCACAUAUGUCCUCUAAUAAUCAAUCACAGGAUCAAGGCCUCACAGUUGAAAAUAAUGUUAACCUUGAUAGAGAUGAACAAGCAGAGAAAGAAACUAAUGAUGAGGUUGAUGAAGAUCUUAUUGGUAACACAAACAUUGAUAUGGAUAAUAAUGGUGAUGACAUCGGGACAACUAGUAUUGAUGUUAACGCAAAUACUUCACCUGUUGCGGAUGUCGGUUGUUCAUUUCAUGUUGAUAUAUUUGAUCCAAGAAACUGGGGUUCUCUUGAUCCUAAGCAGAUUGACAUUUUAGCACAAAAGGGCCCUAAAAGAGACUCACAAUUUCAGAAAGGUCCCAAGGAUAGAUAUUCUAGAAGACUAUUUACAAAAGGGCAUAGGCAAGGUCAGUUGGCGAAUGAGGAGUGUGAUGAUUGGAUACAUGUUGGCAGUAGACUUAAAGAGCAUGAGACAAGUGCAGAUCAUGUUUUGAAUAUGACCACUUGGUAUGAGCUGCGUACUGCUACCUCCUAUCCGGAUUUACAUUCAGAAACUUCAAUUCAACUUAUGUUGGCCAAUAAUAGAUCUAGGGAUACGCGCAAGCCUUAUAAACCGGAAGGUAGUAGAUUGCAGAAGCAUCAAACUAUUGAUAAAGAUGCUCAAGGACAACUUGAGAAUAAAAAGGAGCACCGGAGAUUGCACCAGGGAAUCUCAUAUAUGAAGGAAAGCAUCAUGGGGUACAAAGGAGACUUCUGA